rnacentral:rRNA from 1 species
UACGUAGGGUGCAAGCGUUAAUCGGAAUUACUGGGCGUAAAGCGUGCGCAGGCGGUUUUGUAAGUCUGUCGUGAAAUCCCCGGGCUCAACCUGGGAAUGGCGAUGGAGACUGCAAGGCUAGAAUCUGGCAGAGGGGGGUAGAAUUCCACGUGUAGCAGUGAAAUGCGUAGAGAUGUGGAGGAACACCGAUGGCGAAGGCAGCCCCCUGGGUCAAGAUUGACGCUCAUGCACGAAGGCGUGGGGAGCAAACAGG